rnacentral:autocatalytically_spliced_intron from 1 species
AGAGUAAGAGGCAGGGCGUAGUCGGACUAUUUCCCUGCCUCUCCUCCCCGAACCGGACGUGCACCUUUCAGCGCAUCCGGCUCUCCAUUUAAAUGCUGGCGAACGCCAUUGCCACUUCUGUAAAGCGCGAUGUAUACGUGUUUCUGGUCUCCGUCCUCAGAUAGGGAUUACCUUCGGGUAGCCGCCAGCGGAACAGCUUCUUGCCUUGCCCCACCAACCGGUACAGUAUUUCGCCGCUGAGCUUGCCGUGAUUGGUUUUACCAAAUAAAACCCACGUUUUGCUCUGACCCGGUUCCGGUGAUUUACACCACCACCUCAUCAGGGAAGCGAUACCUGUACGGUAUUUGCGGGCCAGCCAGUGAGCCAGCUUCCAGAACACGACACGGUCGAUAUAACUGAAGACUUUGGCCUUAAAAUCAACGAACUGAUAGAACAUGGCCCAGCCUUUCAGUUUUCGGUUGAGUUGUUCAGCCAUAUCGACUUUGCUUUCACUGUAGUUGCCUGAUAACAGUGCUGUCAGCGAUGCGGCGAAGUUUCUGGCUUUCUCCUGCGGGAUCGUUGAGACCACUCGCAUCUCGCCAUAACGACUGCGUUUGCGAAUGAUCCUGUGCCCCAGAAAGAUAAAGCCGUCAUUAACAUGGGUGAUUUUAGUCUUAUCCAUGUUCAGCCUGAGUUUCAGACUGCCUUCGAGCACACCCCGACACUCCUCCCUGAUGGCUUCCGCCUGUGCUUUGGUGCCUUUGACGAUGAGGACAAAAUCAUCGGCAUAGCGGCAGUACGCCACCGCGGGUUUCCACUGCCAGUUUUCUCUGACCGCCGUACUUCGGCCCCGUUGGAUACUGUUAUUCCAGUACCACCGAUCUUUUCUGGCUUUCCCGCUCAGGUAGCGCUCAUGCAGGUAUUGAUCGAACUCAUUCAGCAUGAUGUUCGAUAAUAGCGGCGAUAUAACACCGCCCUGUGGCACACCUUCACUGGCCGCCCGAAAGAGACCGACAUCGAUAUGUCCCGCCUUGAUGGUUUUCCACAGCAGAGUCAUGAAACGUGCGUCACUGAUCCUGCGGCGUACAGCCUUCAUCAGCAGUCGAUGAUGUACGGUGUCGAAGUAACUGGACAGGUCGCCUUCAAUCACCCAGCGUCCCCGGGUUUCACCGCAGUCUGUGAGCUGUAAUUUCACCGUGCGGAUCGCGUGGUGGACACUGCGCUCAGGCCGGAAGCCAUAUGAGAGCGUAUGAAAAUCACUCUCCCAUAUCGGCUCCAUCGCCAUCAGCAUGGCCCGCUGAACAAUACGAUCCCGCAACGCGGGGAUACCCAGUGGUCGCAGUUUGCCGUUGCUUUUAGGGAUGUAAACCCGUCUGGCGGGCAAGGGCUGGUAGUGGCCUGAGAGUAAUUCAUCCCUGAGGAUUUGCAGCUCAACAGCCAGUCUGGCCUGUAGCAUUGUUUUGUUCACGCCAUCAACGCCGGGGGUAUGCGCCCCCUUUGAUGAAAGCGUGAUCCGCGCCGCUUCAGCCAGCCAUUCUGGUUGUGUUAUCAGACGCAGCAGCCGUUGAAUCCGUAGGGACGGAUCGGUGGCUGCCCAUGUGGCAAGCUUGCGUUGCAUUUCGCUGAUUAUCAAAGGUCUUCACCUCGUUAGGCCAGUUAAUUCACGUCGCAAACACAUUCAAACUGCUUCCCUUCGCCAUGUAAUGGGCUUUCCCCAUCGCGGACUACUACGGAAGCUCCGCCAGUCAGCGCGUCAUCGGAGCCAUGCCCCCUUAACAUCCGUCGCUGACCUUCCCCGGUUUACCUGCCUGGACUCAGGCAUACUGAGGAGGCUGCCCGUCGCACUCUUUAUCCUUGCUUGCCGCAAGUUGGCAGAAGUCAGCAACGCAAGCGUGAUAGACGCUGCUGCCCCGGUGUUUCGCAUACAUGUCAAAACACCUUCGACCGGCAGUGCUUACGUAUCACUGCCAGUUCCUCCUGCACGGCCUGUCAGAUCACGUAGGCCGUGGUGACGUUUUCAACCCACAGAGGCGGAUUAACGGGUUCAUGUUCUUCAGCCUUUCAGUACUUAACCUUGAGGAUCAUCUCGGCUUAGUGAUCUCGCCUCAAUCCCCGUUGUCAGCGGGUUACAUCACCCUGCGGGCAUGCCGCAGGUCACUGCCGCUCAGGUUCUCCACCGUCACACCCGGUGGGAUUGUUGGGUUUCUCAUCGUGAGUUACCGGUUCAAUAUUCCAGACAGACUCGCGGUUCAUUUAAGCAUCCAUGCCCGCCCUGAACUCCGGGCACAC